rnacentral:rRNA from 1 species
GACUAACACGUGACUAACCUACCUCCGAGUGGGGAAUAACUCCGGGAAACCGGGGCUAAUACCGCAUAACAUCUUCAGAUCGAGCACCAAUGCGCUUGGACAGGGGGUCGCGGCUGAUUAGCUUGUUGGUAAGGUAACGGCUUACCAAAGCGACGAUCCGUAGCCGGCCUGAUAGGGCGGUCGGCCACACUGACACUGAAAUACGGGUCAAACUCCUACGGGAGGCAGCAGUCGGGAAUUUUGGGCAAUGGGCGAAAGCCUGACCGGGCAACGCCGCGUGAAGGAUGAAAUCCUUCGGGAUGUAAACUUCCUUGGAACGGGAAGAAUAAUUGAGCGCUAACACCGUUCGCGAUGACGGUACCGUUUGUAAGCUCCGGCUAACUCCGUGCCAGCAGCCGCGGUAAUACGGGGGGAGCAAGCGUUGUUCGGAUUUACUGGGCGUAAAGGGCGCGUAUGCGGCCAGUGCAGUGUCAAUUGUGAAAUCUCCGGGCUUAACUCUGAAAGGUCAACUGAUACUGCGCGGUGUAGAGUGAGGAACGUGCAACUGGAAUUCUCGGUGUAAAAUGUGAAAUGC